UACGUAGGGGGCAAGCGUUGUCCGGAUUUAUUGGGCGUAAAGAGCGUGUAGGCGGCUUUACAGGUCCGUUGUGAAAACUCGAGGCUCAACCUCGAGACGUCGGUUGAAACCACCUGGCUAGAGUCCGGAAGAGGAGAGUGGAAUUCCUGGUGUAGCGGUGAAAUGCGCAGAUAUCAGGAAGAACACUCGUGGCGAAGGCGGCUCUCUGGGACGGUACUGACGCUGAGACGCGAAAGCCAGGGGAGCAAACGGG
rnacentral:rRNA from 1 species